rnacentral:rRNA from 1 species
AUUGAACGCUGGCGGCAUGCCUUACACAUGCAAGUCGAACGGUAACAGGUCUUCGGAUGCUGACGAGUGGCGAACGGGUGAGUAAUACAUCGGAACGUGCCUAGUAGUGGGGGAUAACUACUCGAAAGAGUGGCUAAUACCGCAUCAGAUCUACGGAUGAAAGCAGGGGAUCGCAAGACCUUGUGCUACUAGAGCGGCCGAUGGCAGAUUAGGUAGUUGGCGGGAUAAAAGCUUACCAAGCCGACGAGCUGUAGCUGGUCUGAGAGGACGAUCAGCCACACUGGGACUGGGACACGGCCCAGACUCCUACGGGAGGCAGCAGUGGGGAAUUUUGGACAAUGGGCGAAAGCCUGAUCCAGCAAUGCCGCGUGCAGGAUGAAGGCCUUCGGGUUGUAAACUGCUUUUGUACGGAACGAAAAGCCCUGGGUUAAUACCCUGGGGUCAUGACGGUACCGUAAGAAUAAGCACCGGCUAACUACGUGCCAGCCACCGCCGUAA